CGGCAGCGCGGGGAGCUUGCUCCCUGGCGGCGAGUGGCGGACGGGUGCGUAACACGUAGGAAUCUACCCAGUAGCGGGGGACAACCCGGGGAAACUCGGGCUAAUACCGCAUACGCCCCCCUUUCGAGAGAUUGGGGGGGAAAGCAGGGGAUCUUCGGACCUUGUACUAUUGGAUGAGCCUGCGUCGGAUUAGCUAGUAGGUUGGGUAACGGCUGACCUAGGCGACGAUCCGUAGCUGGUCUGAGAGGACGACCAGCCACACUGGGACUGAGACACGGCCCAGACUCCUACGGGAGGCAGCAGUGGGGAAUAUUGGACAAUGGGGGCAACCCUGAUCCAGCAAUGCCGCGUGUGUGAAGAAGGCCUUCGGGUUGUAAAGCACUUUCGUUGGGGACGAAAUGUAUAGGGAUAAUACCCCUGUAUUUUGACGGUACCUAAAGAAGAAGCACCGGCUAACUCUGUGCCAGCAGCCGCGGUAAUACAGAGGGUGCGAGCGUUAAUCGGAUUUACUGGGCGUAAAGCGUGCGUAGGUGGUUGGAUAAGUCAGAUGUGAAAGCCCCGGGCUUAACCUGGGAACUGCAUUUGAUACUGUCUAGCUAGAG
rnacentral:rRNA from 1 species